UAACAUAUUAUUUUAGCUACGAAAUCUAUAACUCGCCGCUAACAUUGAUAAAAAUGACCUAAUUUCCCUAACGCCACUCUGUCUUUCUCCUCGCACCACACCUCCUCUUCUUCUCCACGCACACCUCUUCUCCGGCGACUCUAGUGACUCUGAUGGAAGCCUCCUGCUCCCUUCUCCUGCGCCAUCCUACACCGCACUUCUCCUCUGGUGCCUUCCCCUCAUUGAGUUUUACUUUCCAACAGCCAGCAGAGACCAUCCACACUACCUCCUGCCCCUUGUCUGUUUAUUGUUUACAGAAGCACCACAUCUCGGUUCAUCUUCCCUCCUAUUUCUGGCGAUUUGGCAAGCGACUGACUACUCCCUUUAGAAAUCUGCUACUUUUUAGUAAGCCAUGCCACCUAAGAGGAUUGAGCACUUACCAGUUUUGGAGAUACCUAUAGAUGAUAGUUCUCCCAGUGGCCGACCGCUAUAUAAGGAGACACGUGGCACACAUUCUGAUCGGCUGCAACGCCAAAUUAGUGAUCGGGGUAGAUUGCCUGUUACUUUCCGUCAGAGCGAUGAGCAUCCCAUUGGCCCUAAUGCAGCUUCAUUUAUGACCGAGUUAGGCCUCUCGUUAAAGAAGUUUGCUCCCUUACAAGCUAAGAGUUGGAAGCACAUCCCUACUGAGAAUAAAAGGAUGAUAUACGAUCGAAUAUCAACUGCUUUUGAUAUAAGUUUUCAAGAGGGUUCAUCUUCGGUCAUGAAGGAGACCGACCAAUUGAUGAGUGCAUAAUAUAGAGAUAAUAGAUCUAAAAUGCAUAACCAUUAUAAGAAGCUAUCGCGCCUUCCUCCUGCUGAGCGCCGACAGCAUAUUCCGAUUGAGUUCUAUGAGACUCAUGAUGUUUGGGACUACAUGUGUGCUCUGUUUGAAUCUGAGGCAUUUCAGAAACGAUAUGCAAUAAAUGUCAAAAAUCGAGGAAAACUCCCAUAUAACCAUCGCGGAGGUUCUAAAUCAUUCAUCGGGUAUAGUUACGACGGUUCACAAAGAAAAGAUCGGAUUACUAUCUUUAAUGAAACUCAUUAUAGCUCGAAGAAAUGGUGGAAUGGAGACACGACAAAAACUGCAUAUAUAUGUUGACCUUAUUUAGUGAAUUUGUUCUUAACUGUGCAUAAUUAUUUUUUACAACAUUUUUAACAUGUUUGUUUUUUCUAGGAUGAUAUGGUGAGACUACGUGAUAAAUGUAUUCUAUCACAAAAUUCAGAAGGUGGCAUGAUGUAGUCCAAAUUACAGAUAUAGUUUAUGAUCAGGUCCAUGAAAAUAUUAUUUAAUAACCACCGAUACAAUUUCCAUUUUUUUCAAAAUAUAUAUGACAUGUUGUCUCGAUAUUUAUAUGAAAUGUUGUCCAUCUUCUUUCAAUACUUCUUGCAAAACAUACUUAUCUCGAUAUUUCCAUCAACUGCUAUUAAUAUUAUAUGAAAUUAUCUGCUUCAAUUAUGGUUCAUUCGCAUAAAGGUGUUCACUUGUUGGCUGACAAAGAAUUUGCUUAAUAAUUUUUUUUAAAAAAAUCUCUAACUGACCUGAGUAACAAUAUUAGAUAUGUGUUAUUAAGGUUGUAAAUGGCAAUAAACAUUUUGGCACUCCUAGUAGGUGGUCUUAAGAAGGCUGAUCUAGAAUGAUAGACGAAGUGUCGCAUAGAAGAGUUGAGAAUAAGCUAGUGAAUUUAAUUAGACAAAUUAACACAGGGAGGUACAUAUAUAUAUAUGCUAAAAAGCAUCACAAAUAAGGAUGAAAAGAUUGAGCUUUUGUUGUAGCGCGAGCACAGCUCAAGCACUAAAGAUCCUUAGGUCAAUGAGGAUUGAGUUGAUGUAUUAAACUUGUUUGCUUUCUUAACAAGUUUAUUUAUAAGUUUUCAAUUAAGGUUUUAUGAAGCUUAAGUUGUUUUUUUAUUAAUCUUAAUUAGACAGCAUUGCUCUUGUAAUUUAGUUGAAGGUAUGGCAAAUGCCUUAAGUUCAGAUCAAGGUUGGUAUGGCAAAUGCUCUUGUAACAAACCCACCCCCUUCUUUUAAGCUCCCACUGAUGGUAGUGUUCUAUUUAAAGUAUUUCAUAUAAAAUAGUGAUUAAGUUGUUAUAUUCAUUUCUUUAGUUUAUUCACUCGAGUCACUUACUUUGACUUGCAGGAAAGCUUAUAAAGCUCUUUUAAAUUCAUGCUUUUCUUAUAUUACAUUUCAAUAUCAUCUUAUUUUUCAGUAUAUCUAUAUUUCAUAAUUAUCUUAUUUGAUUGUUAUUUACUGUUGUAUCAUCAUAUCAUAUCAUAUGUUUUACUACCUUUAAAAUUUUGUAUUAGGUCCUCGGUACUCGGUUUGGAUACAUCAGAGGACUUGGAAGUGGGUCAAAGCCAGUUAGGUCCAUUUCUUCAGAUGCCACAUCCUCAUCCAGAUCAAUUAACGCAGCAUUGCGUGAAAGACUUGAAUCGACCCAAGAUGAGAGCGAACACCAAAAUUCAGCUAGCAAACACCCAAGAUGAGUUAGCAUCAAUUAAAUCAAGACAAGAUAUGUUUGAGCAAAUACUUAACCGAUUGGCACCUGGAGCAUUAGAUUCCUUGAUCCAUGAUUCAUCUUCAGCUCCACCUCCUCCUCCUCCGUCUUAGUUUUUGAUGUUGUGGACUUUUGUAUAGAAACAAGAUGUUCUAGACUUGUUUUGAACUUGUUUGGAUUUUUUGUUGUGAACUUGGUUGGAUUGUUGGUUGUGAACAUGUUUUGAACUUGGUUUGUGAAUGUUAUGAUUAUAUUUGUGUUGAAGUAUGAGUUAAUUGUUAGAG